UGGGGAAUAUUGCACAAUGGGGGAAACCCUGAUGCAGCAACGCCGCGUGCGGGAUGACGGCCUUCGGGUUGUAAACCGCUUUCAGCCAUGACGAAGCUUUUGUGACGGUAGUGGCAGAAGAAGCACCGGCUAACUACGUGCCAGCAGCCGCGGUGAUACGUAGGGUGCGAGCGUUUUCCGGAAUUAUUGGGCGUAAAGAGCUUGUAGGCGGUUUGUCGCGUCGAAAGUGUAAACUCAGUGCUUAACGCUGAGCCUGCUUUCGAUACGGGCUGACUAGAGGAAGGUAGGGGAGAAUGGAAUUCCCGGUGGAGCGGUGGAAUGCGCAGAUAUCGGGAGGAACACCAGUGGCGAAGGCGGUUCUCUGGACCUUUCCUGACGCUGAGAAGCGAAAGCGUGGGUAGCAAACAGG
rnacentral:rRNA from 1 species